rnacentral:lncRNA from 1 species
CCAAAACGAACUGAUCAAGAGCUUUUUUUUUAAUAUGAUAUAGACUCUAGUCUUGUCUAUUUUUGAAGGUCCGGUUACUCAUGUCCCCUACUAUAGACUCCUUUAAUUUAAUUGUAAAAUAAAGGCGUGCGAAGUACGUUUUAGAUUUGAAUCCGGCGCAGCAAAUGUUUUAACGCUAUAACAUAUUUUCUCUUUUUACCUACU